UACGUAGGGGGCAAGCGUUGUCCGGAAUUAUUGGGCGUAAAGCGCGCGCAGGCGGCCUUGUAAGUCUGUCGUUUAAACUCGGAGCUCAACUUCGAGUCGCGAUGGAAGCUGCAAAGCUUGAGUGCAGAAGAGGAAAGUGGAAUUCCACGUGUAGCGGUGAAAUGCGUAGAGAUGUGGAGGAACACCAGUGGCGAAGGCGACUUUCUGGGCUGUAACUGACGCUGAGGCGCGAAAGCGUGGGGAGCAAACAGG
rnacentral:rRNA from 1 species